GACACAAUGAGGAUAUUUAAAACACUUAUAGGGAUAUUUAUCCACGAUACACUUGUUUAAUAUAUUAAAUUUUGAAGAGAUAUUUCUUCAAUGAAUAUAUUAUAUGAAAUAUCCUAAAAAGAUAGGAA